rnacentral:rRNA from 1 species
AGUGAACGCUGGCGGUAGGCCUAACACAUGCAAGUCGAACGGCAGCACAGUAAGAGCUUGCUCUUACGGGUGGCGAGUGGCGGACGGGUGAGGAAUACAUCGGAAUCUACUUUUUCGUGGGGGAUAACGUAGGGAAACUUAUGCUAAUACCGCAUACGACCUACGGGUGAAAGCAGGGGAUCUUCGGACCUUGCGCGAUUGAAUGAGCCGAUGUCGGAUUAGCUAGUUGGCGGGGUAAAGGCCCACCAAGGCGACGAUCCGUAGCUGGUCUGAGAGGAUGAUCAGCCACACUGGAACUGAGACAUGGUCCAGACUCCUACGGGAGGCAGCAGUGGGGAAUAUUGGACAAUGGGCGCAAGCCUGAUCCAGCCAUACCGCGUGGGUGAAGAAGGCCUUCGGGUUGUAAAGCCCUUUUGUUGGGAAAGAAAAGCAGCAGGUUAAUACCCCGCUGUUCUGACGGUACCCAAAGAAUAAGCACCGGCUAACUUCGUG